GAUGAACGCUGGCGGCGUGCUUAACACAUGCAAGUCGAACGGAAAGGCCCAAGCUUGCUUGGGUACUCGAGUGGCGAACGGGUGAGUAACACGUGGGUGAUCUGCCCUGCAUUUCGGGAUAAGCCUGGGAAACUGGGUCUAAUACCGGAUAGGACGAUGGUUUGGAUGCCAUUGUGGAAAGUUUUUUCGGUGUGGGAUGAGCUCGCGGCCUAUCAGCUUGUUGGUGGGGUAAUGGCCUACCAAGGCGUCGACGGGUAGCCGGCCUGAGAGGGUGUACGGCCACAUUGGGACUGAGAUACGGCCCAGACUCCUACGGGAGGCAGCAGUGGGGAAUAUUGCACAAUGGGCGCAAGCCUGAUGCAGCGACGCCGCGUGGGGGAUGACGGCCUUCGGGUUGUAAACUCCUUUCGCUAGGGACGAAGCGUUUUUGUGACGGUACCUGGAGAAGAAGCACCGGCUAACUACGUG
rnacentral:rRNA from 1 species